rnacentral:lncRNA from 1 species
GUGGGUGCCCUGUGUGGGGAGGCUCUUUGAUUCCUGGGGAGGAAGGCUAGAGAACAGGCAGCUCUUUUCUCUCUGCUAGAAAAGAGGAGGCGGCUCCUCACAAGGUUCCUUCCCACAGCUGAGCACUGCCCACAGCUGCCCUUGCCCCUGCCUUUCCACGUUGCACAAGCCCAGCGCACGGUACCCACUGGAUAUGCCCGAGGCCUCCAGAGGAAAGGAAAGGAGGAAAAGGGACAGAAGAAAUGUUCACAGGAACUGCAUAUGGGCCUGCUACUUGUGUCAAAAUGUGACUGAACUCUCUUCCAGCAGCUUACUCUGAGGGAGGUCUGAAUGCCAUAUUGUGAGCGGCCCUGCUGAAAGACCCAUGUGGCAAGGAUCUGAGAUCAUUGGCCAACAGGCUGCAAAGAGUCCUACCAACAGCCAGGCUGGUGUUCUUGGAAGUGGAUCUUCUCCUACUCUCCUACUUGAGAUGACUGCAGCCCCAGCUAACACUUCGAUUGCAGCCUUGUUAAGAUAUCACGGGCCAGACACACCCAGCUAAGUUAUGCCUGAGUUACUAGCCCACAGAAAUGAUAAGAUAAUAAAUAUUUGCUGUUUUAAGCUGCUAAGUUUUGGGUUAAUUUGUUAUACAACAAUGGAUAACUAAUACAAGUGCAGUCAUUGAUCUCAUUGAACACACCCGUAAUUCUUUGGAAAAAUGUCUACUUUCUCACCAAACUAAAAUCCAUUAAUUCCAGUAGUUAGGUGUUUGGCAAUGCCUUUAAAACGAUGCAUAGAAGUACAUGGCCAGGUCUUUAAAAUUGCGUUGCUAGACUGAAGAAGAGCUGUCUGACUUACUGGGCUUCCCACGUUCCUGCCUUCAGUUCCUGGGUUAGUGUCACAGGUUGCGGAUUUUCCACUCCAUCUCCCAGUCAUGUCUCUGGCACUUCCCCCGCUUGGCUCCUAGUAAUCAACUUUGGCUGACCUCUAACUCUCCACCUCCUGGACCACAAAAUAAACCCAAUGCUCUGAUCAUAGCUCCUCUGCAACUAUGUUUACUCCUUGGUUUGGGAUCUGCCCAGACUCUCAUUACGCCUGCCAUAGCAUUAUCCCUCUGUCCUGUACCUACGGAUGAAGCAAACCAUUGAUUUCUCCAACUAUGCUAAGUAAGAGCAAGUCAUAUUGCAGUGUGAAUCCCUGGAAGGCAAGAUCGCCAUUCUGGUCUCUUGUGGAUAUCAAUGCUGAUCUCAGCUUCUGAUGCACGGCAGUCAAUUAAUAAAUGAUUGUUGCCUGAAAAACUGAGCCCCAAAACAAUAUUACAAGUUUAAUAUCAGUAAAGGAUUUAAUGCUUUCUAACAUGAAGAUACCAGAAGUUGCUGAUUUUUGUAUAACCCAGAGAUGGAUUUAAAUGCAGAGUGUAUGAACUUCUUCAUUCCUGAGGGAGGACUUAUGAUUUCAUGAGAAAUGCCCUAGGAAAGGGGCCGGGGAGACUGAUGGAGAAGAAGAGUUUGGGAGGGAAGCCCCAAGGACCAUCUGCCCCAUCAGAGUCACAUGCAGAGGGUCCUGCUCCUGCCGUUGGAAGUUGGCUUCCUGAGCUGCUGAACGUGCCAGUCCUGCUGACCCACUCUCAGAUAUCACAGGCACCCGCUGUGUCUGACAGAGACCUUUCUGCAAGUACACGUGCAGGUCUGCUCUGCAAAGGCGUUAUCAUCUGCAGAUUAUUGCACAGAGUGGCUACGAGCUGUGGUGUGAUCCUGUCACAGAGAGAGCCUGGUCACGUUUUCAGAACAGCAGGAAACAGGACAUUUUGAAACAUGUUUUCAGUGGUGAAAAGGACGUCUGCAAGAGGAACUGAAAGAGAAAUAAACAGUCACUGGAAACACACGCUGAAGGCGGGGAUUGGGGCACAUAUUAAUAAAAUAGCUUGAGUAAAAUUGGAUAAUGCACAAGAACAGCAAAACAGAACAAAACAAAACCCAACAACGAUGAGGAAUUCAUCAGUGAAGGGCUCGCGGAAUGUUCUGAGAAUAAUUCUUCCUUGCUAAUGCCCUCCAGUUUGCAUUAAGAUGCCCAGCAGUUCACCCUCCAGUCUGAGCCAGGCCAGCUACACAGGCUGAAAGUUUCUUAGGCCCUCGAUGACGAUCCUGGACAGGCACCCUGAACACAGCCUCCCCGGUACAUUCUUAGUGCACUCACAGAAUCUGCUGCUUCCCAGGUCUUUUGGAUGUGAAAUGAAACCCCAAGGACUGCUUUAACAAGGGGCAAAAACACAUGCAACCAAAGCCAGCAGUUAUGCCGAAGCAUCCCGGAUUCCCAUGAGAAACUCUCUGGAUCUAGUUCCUCUACGUCACAUGAGUGUGCAAACAGGAGACUACAAGAGUUUAAAAAUACUGGGACUGCUGGAGAUUUCCCUGGCCAUAUAUAGUUCACUUGUUUCACAGUAAGUUCAAAAGAGACAAAGGGAGAGGGAGGGAAAGAAAGAAGGCAACGGGCACUCAGCUUGAGUGAGUAGGGAACCUGAUUACAAUACUGUGCCACCUUCCUUCUCCCCCCAGCUCCGCCCCGGCACUCUCACCCCCAG